rnacentral:rRNA from 1 species
GGACUACUGGGGUAUCUAAUCCCGUUCGCUACCCUGGCUUUCGUGUGUGAGCGUCAGAUUUGGACCAGUGCACUGCCUUCGCCUUUGGUGUUCCCCACGAUAUCAACGGAUUUCACCCCUACACCGUGAGUUCCAUGCACCUCUUCCAACCUCUAGCUAUACCGUUUCGCUCGCGGACCGUAGGUUGAGCCCACGGAUUUUACGAACGACUAAUAUAGCCGCCUUGACACCCUUUACGCCCAGUGAUUCCGGAUAAUGCUUGGGGCCUCUGUAUUACCGCGGCUGCUGGCAC